ensembl:lncRNA
CUCGAAUUUAAAACUGAGUUUCUGUAAAGAAGUGCAUCCUGGUUUUCUGUCUCGGACCUGUGUCAAGUCUGGAUGAUGUUGGGGUCCAGGAGAAAGAACACGAUUAACAAGAGGUUCAGCAUGCUACGCGUGGUUCUGCUUAAAGUCAAUCUGUGGAAAAGCGAUGGCAGAGUGUCUCAAACAUCUAACGCAUUAGAGUCUACUCACUUGACCCACUCAUUACUCCUGUCCCCUCUUUCUGCACUUCUAAAGAACAGCAGAAUGGAUGAGCAGAGAUGCACACUUCCACCUCCUCUUAAAGUAAGUUUGGUUGUGUAAAUCGAUAAAGUAUACAGCCAAAAGUGUGUGGACACCUGACCAUCAGACCCAAAUGUAGGGUUGAACAUCUCAUUCCAGACUUAGUUUGCCUUUGCUGUUAUAAAAACCUUCACUCUUCUGGGAAGGCUUUCCAGUAGGUUUUGG